rnacentral:rRNA from 1 species
AUGAAGCUGGAAUUGCUAGUAACGGCAGGUCAGCAUACUGCCGUGAAUACGUUCCCGGGCCUUGUACACACCGCCCGUCACACCAUGAGAGUUGGAAAUACCCGAAGCCUGUGAGCUAACUUAAAGAGGCAGCAGUCGAAGGUAGAGCCAAUGAUUGGGGUGAAGUCGUAACAAGGUACC